rnacentral:lncRNA from 1 species
GAGAGGCUGAGGAGUACGUACCAAGGGACAGUUUGUGAGACUCUGGUAGGUCCGUGACUGAGGGCACCCUUGUGGGAUGCUGAGUGUAGCCAUCAGGAAGCUGGGUCCCAGCCAACUCAGCCUGGGCUCUGCCGUUCUCCAGUGGUCAGAUAAGAAAGAGCGGUGUGGUCCUCUAAGGGAGUGAGCGAGGCCUUUUGAGAAGGUGAAUCAGCGUGUGUUAGCUCAGGGCAGAGGGCCUGGCGGUGAGACGUGAGAACAGCCAAUGUCAUGGCGGUGGGGGAGUGGACGUGAGCCAUCUGGGGCCCAGCAAACAGCAUGUUGAAAAAAACGAGGAACUCAAAGGCAGAUGAGCCUACCACGCUGGGAACAGUUGGGAGUACAUUGCUCAAGCCCCGGCCAGUUUUAUGUCACUGCUGGUGUGAAGCAGUGAACAGUGACCCAGCAUGCAUCCAGGUGGCGGGACAGAGUCAGACUCUCCAGGGCAGAGAGACUCUAAAACUGACGGCCAGGUCUUGCUCAGACUACGGGCCUGAGGGAAGAUCCAAGACUGAAACAGGGCUUGGAAUGGAGGGGGUGGAGUUGAGGAGAUCACAGAGGACCUAGGAGUGUGUGUAUCGGAGAGAGAUAGGAAACCACUGACCGUUCAGCACACAUUCAGAAUUACUGCCUGUCCCAGGGAGGGACCCACAGCUCCGGCGCUCCGUUCAGCAUCUGGAAGAGCAUAGCUCGCUGUGAGCGGCCGCCCCAGAAGACUGUAUCCCACCCAGCCAGCUCUCCUGCCUGCUUGCCUCUGCCCCACACCAGGACACUUCAUACUGUCAGAACCACUGGGUGUGUGAGCUUGUGAGAGGGUGUGUGGGCACACAUGUCCCUGUGUGGGGUGUGGAGGUCAGAGGGCAACUUGGAGGAAUUGGUUCUCUCCUUCCACCACUGGGGCCCAGGAAUCAAGCCGAGGUUCCCAGACGUGGUAGCAGCCUCCCUUACCUGUUAAACCAGUGCUUCCCAGACUUCCUAAUGCUGUGACCUCAUGCUGUGCUGACCCCCGCCCAUGACAUUAUCUCUGUUGGUAUUUUAUAACUGUAAUUUUGCUACUAUUAUGAAUCACAAUGUAAAUGUCUGUUUUCU